rnacentral:rRNA from 1 species
GACAGAGGGUGCAACCGUUGUUCGGAAUUACUGGGCGUAAAGCGCGUGUAGGCGGCUCGGCAAGUCGGGUGUGAAAGCCCUGGGCUUAACCUAGGAAGUGCACUCGAAACUGCCAAGCUUGAGUUCUGGAGAGGAAGGCGGAAUUCUCGGUGUAGAGGUGAAAUUCGUAGAUAUCGAGAGGAACACCGGUGGCGAAGGCGGCCUUCUGGACAGCAACUGACGCUGAGACGCGAAAGCGUGGGGAGCAAACAGG